rnacentral:rRNA from 1 species
UACGUAGGGUGCAAGCGUUAAUCGGAAUUACUGGGCGUAAAGCGUGCGCAGGCGGUUUUGUAAGUCUGUCGUGAAAUCCCCGGGCUCAACCUGGGAAUUGCGAUGGAGACUGCAAGGCUAGAAUCUGGCAGAGGGGGGUAGAAUUCCACGUGUAGCAGUGAAAUGCGUAGAGAUGUGGAGGAACACCGAUGGCGAAGGCAGCCCCCUGGGUCAAGAUUGACGCUCAUGCACGAAAGCUAGGGGAGCGAACAGG